UCCGGAAUAACUUAGUGGUUGUGUGCAACCUUGCCAAGGUUGACGUCGCGUGUUUGAAUCUCGUUUCCCGCU
rnacentral:tRNA from 1 species